UUCAAUUGAUCAAUGGAAUCAGGAAUCAGAUAGUUUGGGAAAAGUCAAAUGUGGGGCCAGAAAAGUCAACUCCUAACAUUUUGAAAGUGGAAUCUCAAAAUUUAUGUCUAAGGGAGCCUACAUGUGAAAUUUGAUCAAGGUUGGAUCAUGGAUUCAUCAUUUAAUCAGGAGUUGGAAAAGUUACUAAAUUUGGAAAUAGUUGACUUUCCAUUUAAGGCAAGUUUUUAUGGUUUUUG
rnacentral:lncRNA from 1 species